UCCCAAACGGGCAGUCCGGCUAGACACAUAUAACUAGCCGCGGGGGUUGCGCUCGUUGCGGGACUUAACCCAACAUCUCACAACACGAGCUGACGACAGCCAUGCAGCACCUGUGCAGCACCCUCGAAGGCGACCCGCUUUCACGGGCUUGCAGCUGCAUGUCCAAUCUGGGUGAGGUUCUGCGCGUUGCGUCGAAUUAAACCACACGCUCCGCUGCUUGUGCGGGCCCCCGUCAAUUCCUUUGAGUUUUAAGCUUGCGCUCGUAGUUCCCAGGCGGGACACUUCCGCGUUAGCUCAGCCCCCCACGAAGAAUGGUUACUCCGCAGAGGACGAGUGUCCAUCGUUUACGGCGUGGACUAC
rnacentral:misc_RNA from 1 species